AAAAAUUACAUUAUUCUGUGGCUCAGUACUGUAGGCCCAGUUGUGGGUCUCAGUGUGCCUCUGAGUUAUGCAAAAGUAGCACCUGAGCAGAAUUCAAGCACUGAUUCAGCUGAAAGCUCUUCGGCCAGUUCACUUCCAGGACUCACCUUCCAGUAUUUUGCUUACCUUCCUUAUUUUGCAAUGAGAAUUUGUGCUGAGAGAGAGGUGCUUGGACAUUGCUGACAUCCUCCGUGAAUGCCAGGAGGCCCCUGAUGUCCUGUGGUCUUCCUCAGAGCUCUGAACUGAAGGACAGGUGAUGGUGAGCUGCUGCAGGCUCCCCUCGGGGUGAAGUCAAAGGGAUCCUUCCUGGCUGGUAGACAAUGCCAGUGUGGAAACGAUUGUUCAUGGCUCUUUCUCUGGCAAGAAGUGGCCACUGAUUACAGUGGAAUACUUAAUUGUUGGCUGCAGUUGUGGCAACACCUCUGCAGCACCACCAAGACCUGAACUCCCUUGUGACUGCAUUGGCCCUUGAAGUCAUUCUUCUACCACCUCCUGUGCUUGUGGCCUUGGAGAGGCUGCACAGAAAGGCACAAGCCUGUGGUUCCUUGAUACAGGGUGGAGUAGCUGGGUUUGGAUCUACUAAAAACUAUCUCUAGAAAACCUGUGAGGUGGCAAAUGCAAAACAUACACAGCAAAGUGCCUGUGGGACGUGGUGUGAGCUUGUGGCACCCAGUGCAUGGGCUGAGACUGCUUCACCUGGGAACCACCUUCUGCACCACAGCCUGAGGGAUGGACCCCCUCAUGUCCCACACCACACAAAAUCCUCAUCCUGGGACUGAGAAACACUUCUCUGAGAAUAUUGAAGGGAACAAACAGGAUUGGGAUUGUAACAAACAGGGAACUUGGAGCCUCCCUGUGAGUGAGCACCUUCAGUUCUGGAGUUCAGGUGGCUGAUGCAGCUGUGUGAGAACAUCUGGCUCUUCCAUGGCCUGCAGAGGAAGCUCUGCCAUUCCCUGUGGGAGUGACUGUUCCACUCAAUUAGCGUUUCUCAUUGUACUCCUGGCUGUUCACAGGUUUAAUUCCCUACCCUGCUGUUUGGGGAGUUGCAUGGUGGUGCUGCCACUGAAAACCACAUUGCAAGUAACUUCCACACAACCCAUCCUGGCAUCUCUUCCCAUCCCAUUUUAUUUGUAGUGUAAAACAGAGCCCUGGGAUGGAACCACAGGUUUUACUUUACAUGUUCAGCAAUGUGUCACUUGCACCCAGAGCCCGGUGUGUGCCACAUGAGGGCUGGGAACCUGGUAUGCAUCAGGUUCCAGAUUCUAGGCUUUAAACUUACGUCAUGUGUCUUUGUUGGACAAGAAAUACAGAGUGCAGUCUGUAAAAUUCCAUUGGUGUGGAAUUCUUUUGCCAGCCAUUUGGAAUUAAUAAUGAAAGCACAUCAUUUAUCUUGUUCUGGAUCAUAACAACCUGAAAAAGCCAUUUUUCCAUGUGAGAUUUAUAAAAUGCAGCCAACAGCUAAGUUGCUUUUUUUAACACUUCUGAUAACACAUGCUUGGUAAUUGCAUCAGUGGCCCACUUUUAAAUUUCAGCGAGACUUAGACAGGAGGAAAAACCAACAAAAAACAGAUAACAGCAGUUUUAAGAGCUGUUAAAUGUUCUUCCGUGCUCUGUGAUCUUCAUUUGUGAUACCCUGGAACAGAGGAGUGAGAGCACCAGCCUUCAAAAAGUGGAAUUUGUAUAUGGAGGGAAGUAAAUAUUUUUUCUUUUACAUGGAAAAAGUCUCAAUGACCAUUCUCAAUGAUUCUAAACCUCUUAACAGCAUAAACAACAAGGUAACAGAGCAAUGUCAUCAUCAGCAGCAAUGUUUCUCUGAAAUUUCCCUAGAAAACCAAAAUUCAGCUCAGUUACAGAUACACUGAGCUUAGAUAGAGGAAGAAAUACAGGAUAACAUAAAUAUUUGUGAUCGAGAAGAGAUCCUGUUUGGAUGUCUCCUUUUUAAUGGCUGAAGUAGGUAAUUGGUAGGUAGGGACCCAAUUUACCGUUUUACAUUUAUGCUUUGAUGACUUAGGAUAUUUUUAACAGAAUUUUUGUGUACCAAAAUUCUGAUUUUUUAAAAUUUUUUAAAUCAAGUGAAUUGUGGCACUAUUUUGUGAUUUUAGCAAAUCUGCUGAAUAUUCUUACAUCUGAACUUGGGUUUUGUCUGCAUGCAUUAUCUGCUUAUGAAAAUUUCCAGUUCCAGAGAGUUUUGUACAUUUGCUCAGUUGCUCAUCUUUGCUAAUCUGGGAAGAUACAUUGAGAACCUUUGCUUCUGGGGACUUCUUUUAAGAGAACAGACUCUUGUAACCCUUGGUUACAGGAAUCAGCAAGAAUUAUUAUUUUUAUGUAUUCACUUAAGCCAAAAAAUGUGCUUUCCUGUGUAAUGCAGCUGCUCACUUACCUACAUAAUCCUUCAUUUGUGUCAGCAUGACAAGAAUUCAACCUCCUGCCAGGAGGUUUGAGGUUGGUUGGUUUUGGUUACUAACAGGAACAUUCCUUUCCAUGCAGUAAAUGUUAAACUAGUUAGUUACAGCUAAGUACAGUGAUGUAAUCAAUUCUUGUUGCAACUCCAUGAAUUUCACCAAAGCUGUCUCAGUAACUUUUUUCCUCCCUGUUUGCUGUGGUGAUGGUUUCAUGAGUUUGUUUGGACAUCUGUGUUUAUAUUACAUACAUGUAAAUUCAAUUCCAGCACAAAGAAAGGAUGUUUGCUCUUUCCUCUGAACGGUGAAUUUAAAAUUUUUUCCUCAAAAAUUCUCUCUUCUAGA